GUGCCAGCCGCCGCGGUAAUACGGAGGGUGCAAGCGUUAAUCGGAAUUACUGGGCGUAAAGCGCACGCAGGCGGUUUGUUAAGUCAGAUGUGAAAUCCCCGGGCUCAACCUGGGAACUGCAUCUGAUACUGGCAAGCUUGAGUCUCGUAGAGGGGGGUAGAAUUCCAGGUGUAGCGGUGAAAUGCGUAGAGAUCUGGAGGAAUACCGGUGGCGAAGGCGGCCCCCUGGACGAAGACUGACGCUCAGGUGCGAAAGCGUGGGGAGCAAACAGGAUUAGAUACCCUGGUAGUCCACGCCGUAAACGAUGUCGACUUGGAGGUUGUGCCCUUGAGGCGUGGCUUCCGGAGCUAACGCGUUAAGUCGACCGCCUGGGGAGUACGGCCGCAAGGUUAAAACUCAAAUGAAUUGACGGGGGCCCGCACAAGCGGUGGAGCAUGUGGUUUAAUUCGAAGCUACGCGAAGAACCUUACCAGGUCUUGACAUACUAUGCAAAUCUAAGAGAUUAGACGUUCCCUUCGGGGACAUGGAUACAGGUGGUGCAUGGUUGUCGUCAGCUCGUGUCGUGAGAUGUUGGGUUAAGUCCCGCAACGAGCGCAACCCUUAUUAUCAGUUGCCAGCAUUAAGUUGGGCACUCUGGUGAGACUGCCGGUGACAAACCGGAGGAAGGUGGGGAUGACGUCAAAUCAUCAUGCCCCUUAUGACCUGGGCUACACACGUGCUACAAUGGCGCAUACAAAGAGAAGCGACCUCGCGAGAGCAAGCGGACCUCAUAAAGUGCGUCGUAGUCCGGAUUGGAGUCUGCAACUCGACUCCAUGAAGUCGGAAUCGCUAGUAAUCGUGGAUCAGAAUGCCACGGUGAAUACGUUCCCGGGCCUUGUACACACCGCCCGU
rnacentral:rRNA from 1 species